CUCCAUCCCAGAGCACGGUACAAACUCCCAUCCCUGAGACGGGACGUAGCCCCCACCAGCACCGCCCCCACCUUGCAGCCCCGAACCGUUCAUAAACGCAGUCCACAUUUCUCAGCCGCAUCAAAAGAAAACAUUUAAAAAAAAAAAAAAACUUAACAAUGUAAAUUAGGUUAUUAAAAACUGAUCAUGAAGAUAUUUUGCAAGUGUACAUUUCUGCUCUAUAAUGCAUACGUUCAAAUACUGCAGAAAUGUCUACAGUUCAACACCGUUUUUUCAGUUGGUGACCGGUGGCAUAAUAAAAAUUAUCCAAACCCGGCCAAGUCCCCCGUCGGCCACACAGCAGCGCCCAGGCCAGCAGUGACCGCUGUGCUGCAGGCGACGGGACUGGACUCGUUGGUCCCCUUCAUGUCUUCGCAGGGACAAGGUCAAGCCCUCAUUGUGGUGCCCGGAUACCCACGGUGUCCUGUUUUGUCUCUGAAAGACCUCCUCACUGCUACACCCAUGCGUUGUUUUCCUUUUCACACGUUCAUAUCGAAAUCUCAGGACGCACUGUGUCUUUUCUCUCCCCCGCACGGAGUCGUCGUAGGCGACAAUCCAGGGCUGGCAAAGACAGACACCCAGUAACCACUCCGGCGCGAAUGGGAGAAGUUCCCAAAAAUAUCACGGGGCACACUGAUGUAAGAGCAGCGGAGUAUUUUUACCCCUUGUAACCAAGAGUGUGUUUUCCUGAAGACAGAUAGCGUCUGAAGAGGUACCGGAGGAGCAUCCAUUAAUCAACACCGGGUUGCUCUAAUCACGUCGCAGGAUACUACCUUACGCUGUAUCCAUGGCAACAAAUCAAAUUUACGCACAGUGCGCUGUAGUGGACUGGAUGGUCAAAAAUAGCAGUCACCCCUUUCAGAGGCAACAAACUUCACUUAUGGUCUGGGAGCAGUAAUUUCUCACAAUAAAUGCAAAUAUGAAUGCUGGCCCUAAUAUGUGACGUAAAUCAUCCCACCGGUGGGAUGAAAGAACGAUACACAAGACACCGAUUCCGCCCCCGUCCUGGUGGUCAGACAGUGGCUCCUCUGCCUGUUUAUCCUCCUGCUUGGGGACAUCCAGCCGGUCAAUGAAGCUCUGCAACUCCUUCCUGAAGGCUUUC